rnacentral:rRNA from 1 species
UACGGGGGGAGCAAGCGUUGUUCGGAUUUACUGGGCGUAAAGGGCGCGUAGGCGGCCAGCACAAGUCAGUUGUGAAAUCCCAGGGCUCAACCCUGGAACUGCACUUGAUACUGCGUGGCUAGGGUACUGGAGAGGAGACUGGAAUUUACGGUGUAGCAGUGAAAUGCGUAGAUAUCGUAAGGAAGACCAGUGGCGAAGGCGAGUCUCUGGACAGUUACCGACGCUGAGGCACGAAGGCCAGGGGAGCAAACGGG